AUUCUUACAGAGCUGGUCCCCACAGUGCCGCCCCUGGGCGUAAACUCCUCCAUACAGGGAGUGUAGAUGAUGGGCUGACCUAAGAACGGUUUCCAAAUGGUCUUUUACACCUCUGCCUCCCACCGCACUUUAGCCCAGGAUAACAGAUUUUCCUCGUGCGAUUUCAAAUUUGCAAGGGAAUCUUGAAUAUUUUUUAGUAAUGAGAGAGGGUAGAUUAUAUGUCCUAAUCCCAGCCUAAUCAGAUUAACAGCAACUUCUGGACAUUCAGUACCAGGAACUGUUUUAGGUGCUGUGGAGAGGAGUUAAAAAUGAAACAAAAAUUAUUGCCUUCAUGAGGCUUACAUUAGUGGACAGAGUCCAAAAAAAAAAGUGACAACGUAAUGCGCCACUGCGACACAAAGCAAAGCAAAAUCAUACUGGUCCCAAGUUUGACAUCGACAUGAUGGUUUCACUUCUGAGGCAAGAAAAUGCAAGAGACAUUUGUGUGAUCCAGGUU
rnacentral:sRNA from 1 species